GACGAACGCUGGCGGCGUGCUUAACACAUGCAAGUCGAACGGAAAGGCCCUGCUUUUGUGGGGUGCUCGAGUGGCGAACGGGUGAGUAACACGUGAGUAACCUGCCCUUGACUUUGGGAUAACUUCAGGAAACUGGGGCUAAUACCGGAUAGGAGCUCCUGCUGCAUGGUGGGGGGUGGAAAGUUUCGGCGGUUGGGGAUGGACUCGCGGCUUAUCAGCUUGUUGGUGGGGUAGUGGCUUACCAAGGCUUUGACGGGUAGCCGGCCUGAGAGGGUGAACGGCGACAUUGGGACUGAGAGACGGCCCAGACUCCUACGGGAGGCAGCAGUGGGGAAUAUUGCACAAUGGGCGGAAGCCUGAUGCAGCAACGCCGCGUGCGGGAUGACGGCCUUCGGGUUGUAAACCGCUUUCGCCUGUGACGAAGCGUGAGUGACGGUAAUGGGUAAAGAAGCACCGGCUAACUACGUG
rnacentral:rRNA from 1 species